AUUCAUCUUCGGGGCAGGGUGAAAAUCCCGACCGGCGGUAAUAGAAUGGUAAAUCGCUAUUGUAGCAUAAAACUACAGUAGCUCGAAUGAUUUACUCCAACAUUCUUCAGCCCGCGACCUGUGCAAAUCUUUUUUUGCAUGGCUGACUUGGUGUGAAUCCAAGGCCGACAGUUAUAGUCUGGAUGGGAGAAGAUGGAG
rnacentral:ncRNA from 2 species